rnacentral:lncRNA from 1 species
ACGCUGACCCCUCUGCUCCAACAGCUGUGUGAGGCCCCACUUGGGGCCUUUACCCACCCCUGCCCAGGCCCUGUUUCAGACCUUUUGAGGUCUGCUCCAAAGGAUAGCUGCUGCAGGUCAUGCAGGAACUGGUUUUUCAUUACUGUAAACUGCUUUAGGAACCCUGAUGAAGCACUCUCUCCAUCAGAUGCAUUUGUUACACGCCAGCUUGAAGUUUAUCUUUUGGGUGGCUGGCUCAGAGCAGUGGGACGCUUGGUGUGGUUUGUGAAGCCGAUUUAGGAAGUCAGAAGUGCUUCAAAUCCAGAUUUUACCUCUUCAGUCUGUGACCUGCCCGUGGGUACGAUGUGAUUUUUUUUUAUAGCUUUCUCAGUGGCACAUCUAUACUUCAAGCAUGUCCAGUGAAACUGAGGCACUCAAUAGAAGAGGGGAGAAGAUGGUGGUGAGGAAAUACUACCCAAACUGCAUCCUUAGUAAAGCUAAAUAGGGUAUUCCCAAAGGGUGAGAAAAGGACCAAGAUCUGAAACUAGCUGGAGGGCCACCCAGAAGGGGGAGGAUUUUGUAGCAAAUGUGCCCUUUUGCCUGUAUUCUCCUCUGAGAGGAGAAUGUGAGGACUGAGGGCUUGUUCAAAGAGCAAAGCCUUCAUCGCGAGGUUGUCUCAUCUAAAACUGCAUAAUAGAGUGAGAAGCCUCUUAGAUCUGAUCCUAGAAUGAGGAGAUUAAAGAGAAAAC